rnacentral:rRNA from 1 species
AUCAUUACCGAGUUUACAACUCCCAAACCCCUGUGAACAUACCUUAAUGUUGCCUCGGCGGAUCAGCCCGCGCCCCGUAAAACGGGACGGCCCGCCAGAGGACCCAAACUCUAAUGUUUCUUAUUGUAACUUCUGAGUAAAACAAACAAAUAAAUCAAAACUUUCAACAACGGAUCUCUUGGUUCUGGCAUCGAUGAAGAACGCAGCAAAAUGCGAUAAGUAAUGUGAAUUGCAGAAUUCAGUGAAUCAUCGAAUCUUUGAACGCACAUUGCGCCCGCUGGUAUUCCGGCGGGCAUGCCUGUUCGAGCGUCAUUUCAACCCUCAAGCCCUCGGGUUUGGUGUUGGGGAUCGGCUCUGCCUUCUGGCGGUGCCGCCCCCGAAAUACAUUGGCGGUCUCGCUGCAGCCUCCAUUGCGUAGUAGCUAACACCUCGCAACUGGAACGCGGCGCGGCCAUGCCGUAAAACCCCAACUUCUGAAUGUUGACCUCGGAUCAGGUAGGAAUACCCGCUGAACUUAAGCAUA